rnacentral:RNase_P_RNA from 1 species
ACGUUCGGGUAAUCGCUGUAAUAAAGCAAGCAAAUGCUUAUUGCAGAGGAAAGUCCAUGCUCGCACGAGCUGAGAUGCUCGUAGUGUUCGUGCUUAGUGAAACAAUAAGCUAGGGCAGUUAAGGUAUACUUAACUGACGGCAGGGAAAAUGCCUAAGUCAUGAUAGAUAUGGCAUGAAUACCUUUAACAGUGCCACAGUGACGUAGCCUUUUCAGAAAUGAAAAGGGUGGAACGAGGUAAACCCCACGAGCGAGAAACCCAAAUUACGGUAGGGGCACUUUCUCUAAGGAACAACAACGAGGAGAAAGACAGGUUGAAUACAAUCUGUAGAUAGAUGAUUACCGCCUGAGUACGAGACGAAUAGUCACUUGCAGUACAAAGGUACAGAACAUGGCUUACAGAA